rnacentral:rRNA from 1 species
GACGAACGCUGGCGGCGUGCUUAACACAUGCAAGUCGAACGGGUCUGCCCUGUUUUUUGCGGGGUGGGUCAGUGGCGAACGGGUGAGUAACACGUGAGUAACCUGCCCCUCACUUCUGGAUAACCGCUUGAAAGGGUGGCUAAUACGGGGUGUUCUGGCUGUGCCGCAUGGUGUGGCUGGGAAAGAUUCACUUUUGUGGUGUUUUGGUGGGGGAUGGGCUCGCGGCCUAUCAGCUUGUUGGUGGGGUGAUGGCCUGCCAAGGCUUUGACGGGUAGCCGGCCUGGGAGGGUGGGCGGUCACACCGGGACUGAGAUACGGCCCAGACUCCUGCGGGAGGCAGCAGUGGGGGGUAUUGCACAAUGGGCGGAAGCCUGAUGCAGCGACGUCGCGUGAGGGAUGGAGGCCUUCGGGUUGUGAACCUCUUUCGCCGGUGAAGAAGGUCCUGCUCUUUGUGGUGGGGUUGACGGUAGCCGGGUUAUGAAGCGCCGGCUAACUACGUG